rnacentral:rRNA from 1 species
GACAGAGGGUGCAAACGUUGUUCGGAAUUACUGGGCGUAAAGCGCGUGUAGGCGGCACGGCAAGUCGGAUGUGAAAGCCCGCUGCUCAACCGUGGAAGUGCACUCGAAACUGCCGAGCUAGAGUCUCGGAGAGGAAGGUGGAAUGCUUGGUGUAGAGGUGAAAUUCGUAGAUAUCAAGCAGAACACCUGUGGCGAAGGCGGCCUUCUGGACGAUGACUGACGCUGAGGCGCGAAAGCGUGGGGAGCAAACAGG